GGUCCCAUAGCUCAGUUGGUUAGAGCGUCGUACUAAUAUGUUCUCCAGUUGGUCCUCCACGUGAGGUAUCACAUAGGGCAUAUCAAGUAACUAGCAUGCGAAGGUCGAGAGUUCGACCCUCUCUGGGACCA
rnacentral:tRNA from 1 species